ACGGGGGGUGCAAGCGUUAUUCGGAAUUAUUGGGCGUAAAGGGUGCGUAGGCGGUUUUGUAAGUCAGCUGUGAAAUCCCGGGGCUUAACCCCGGAACUGCAUUUGAUACUGCAAGACUUGAGUAUGGGAGAGGAGAGCGGAAUUCCUGGUGUAGAGGUGAAAUUCGUAGAUAUCAGGAGGAACACCGGUGGCGAAGGCGGCUCUCUGGACCAAUACUGACGCUGAGGCACGAAGGCGUGGGGAGCAAACAG
rnacentral:rRNA from 1 species